rnacentral:rRNA from 1 species
UACGUAGGGUGCGAGCGUUGUCCGGAAUUAUUGGGCGUAAAGGGCGCGUAGGCGGCCUGACAAGUGGAAGGUGAAAUCCCUCGGCUUAACCGAGGAACUGCCCUCCAAACUGUUUGGCUUGAGACCGGGAGAGGUGAGUGGAAUUCCCAGUGUAGCGGUGAAAUGCGUAGAUAUUGGGAGGAACACCAGUGGCGAAGGCGGCUACUGGCCGGUCUGACGCUGAGGCGCGAAAGCGUGGGGAGCAAACGGG